UGCCAGACUCCUACGGGAGGCAGCAGUGAGGAAUAUUGGUCAAUGGGCGUAAGCCUGAACCAGCCAAGUCGCGUGAGGGAUGAAGGAUCUAUGGUUCGUAAACCUCUUUUAUAAGGGAAUAAAGUGCGGGACGUGUCCUGUUUUGUAUGUACCUUAUGAAUAAGGAUCGGCUAACUCCGUGCCAGCAGCCGCGGUAAUACGGAGGAUCCGAGCGUUAUCCGGAUUUAUUGGGUUUAAAGGGUGCGCAGGCGGAGGUGCAAGUCAGCGGUCAAAUUGCGGGGCUCAACCCCGUACUGCCGUUGAAACUGCAUCCCUUGAGUGCGCGAGAAGUAUGCGGAAUGCGUGGUGUAGCGGUGAAAUGCAUAGAUAUCACGCAGAACUCCGAUUGCGAAGGCAGCAUACCGGCGCCCAACUGACGCUGAAGCACGAAACCGUGGGUAUCGAACAGGAUUAGAUACCCGCGUAUA
rnacentral:rRNA from 1 species